GGCAGCAUGUCUUAGCUUGCUAAGGCGAUGGCGACCGGCGCACGGGUGAGUAACGCGUAUCCACCUGCCUUACACUCUUGGAUAGCCUUCUGAAAGGGAGAUUAAUACAAGAUGUUUAAGCAUUCAUAAAGGUUUCCGGUGUAAGAUGGGGAUGCGUUCCAUUAGAUAGUAGGCGGGGUAACGGCCCACCUAGUCUUCGAUGGGUAGGGGUUCUGAGAGGAAGGUCCCCCGCAUUGGAACUGAGACACGGUCCAAACUCUACGGGAGGCAGCAGUGAGGAAUAUUGGUCAAUGGACGAGAGUCUGAACCAGCCAAGUAGCGUGAAGGAUGAAGGUUUAUGGAUUGUAAACUUCUUUUAUACGGGAAUAACGAAUCCACGCGUGGAUUUUUGCAUGUACCGUAUGAAUAAGGAUCGGCUAACUCCGUGCCAGCAGCCGCGGUAAUACGGAGGAUCCGAGCGUUAUCCGGAUUUAUUGGGUUUAAAGGGAGCGUAGAUGGGUUGUUAAGUCAGUUGUGAAAGUUUGCGGCUCAACCGUAAAAUUGCAAUUGAUACUGGCAGUCUUGAGUACAGUUGAGGUAGGCGGAAUUCGUG
rnacentral:rRNA from 1 species